rnacentral:tRNA from 1 species
UCCCUGGUGGCUCAGUGAUAAAGAAUCUGCCUGCAAUGUAGGAGACCCAGGUUCGAUCCCUGGGUCGGGAU